GAUGCCAUGUAUUUUUCGGCCAUAUUCAUGGAGGAGCAAGGAGGAUGAGUACCAUAGCAUCUAUUCCAUUACAUCCAUUCACCAUCAUUCUAUCUUAGCCAAAUUCCAAACCUUUUGUUUCCAAUUCAACCAAACACUCCCUAUUACCCAAAAGUCCACCAUCAUCAUCACUUCAAUAUCUAUCAUGUGUUAGGCUUAAUCACCAUCCCUCACUCAUCAUUUCCUACUCUAGCCUACACCAUCACUCCCAUACUCUUUUCCUUUUUUUUUUUGAGAUCUAUUACUACUCUUAUACUCAACUUUUUUGCUCAAUUCAAAAACCUAGCUGCUAUCUUGACUUCACAACACCAUUUUCACAUCCCUUGCCAUCUAUUUAGGCACCUAUUCUUCAUAAGGAAGACACAUCACCCACACUUAGCCAUUACGUACAUCUUCUUCUCUCUCUAUUCUCUACACAAUCCACUAGCAUCUCCUCCACAAACCUCCAUCACCACCACCUUCAAUCCAUAACCUCCAUUACCACCACCACCAAAUUCAUCAUUCUAUUAACCCAUUUUAUUUCAUAUACAUAAAGCUUCACCACUCCACCAUUUCACCACUAGAUCAUCUCUAUAUCACAUAUUCCAUCAUCAAGCUUUGAAGAAGAAGGAGAGGAGUCUAGCAUUACUUGAGGAAUCAUCAUCACAAUCACCAUUAGCAUCAUGUCAAUGCUUUCAUGAGUUCAUCUACACCAUCCUCAAGUUGAUCAUCACUAGUCACUUCUCUAUCCCUACUUUUUAGUUUGAUGUUUAUAAACAUGUUGAAGCUUAUGUAUUUGAUUAUGAGUGAGUAGUUAGUUUGUUGAGGCUAGGGUUGAAAGCCCUAGCCAAUCUUGUAUGACUUUGAUGUAAAUAUUAUGUGUGAUACACUUUUCAUUAACACCUUAACAUGCUAGUUUUGUUGAACUUCAGGUACGGUUGGUCCAAAUUACAUUUUAGGCUCAUUGUUACUGUUUUGUUGAACUUCAGUAUCCUUGCUGGGUUUGGAAUCAGGUCAGAGGAAGAAGAGGGUUGCUAGCUACAAGGUGUACACUGUGGAGGGAAGCUGAAAGGGACUCUCAGGAAGAGCUAAUAUGGACUGCUUUUAAGGAGGAGAUGGAGGUGUCAGAGAGGCUGGAGAGGGUGCAAAAGGCAUUGGAGAAUGCUGUGGAGGAUAUGGACUUGAUGAUGAGGCUUUUGGAUGAGCUUGGUAAGCUUCAGAAUCAGGCGCAAGAGUGUGACUUGAGUAUGGUGGACGCCAACAUUAGUAAGUUGAUGCCGGAACUUGGGUUUGCGCCUGAGGAUGGGGAUAGGUGGGUGGCUUCAUUUAGUAGUGGUUGGCAGAUGAGGAUGUCACUUGGGAAGAUUUUGCUUCAGAUUUCCUCUCUAGAUCUGCCAAAUUUGUAGCAGAAUGUAACCACCGACUAAUUGCUUUGAUUUCGAACCUGUCAAGUUUACCAGGCUAUCUACAAACCAAUCGUUCCUCUCAAGAUCCUUCCUCUGGGUGAGAAACAAAAGGAAAAGUGAUGGGACCAAAACCAAUGUUGAGAGGAACAAAGAGGAGUACAAGUGAACAGGCAAUUGGGCAAAGAAGAAAUAAAUCUAUGUUGUAACAUUUUAAUAUUUUAUUUAUUAUUGAAAUUAAAUUUGGGUGAAUUUAUUUGUGUGUUUAAAUUCUGAAUUUAUUUGUGUGUUUAAAUUCUGAAUUUAUUUUGAAUUUUAUUUUGUAACUCAUGGUGUUUUAUUUUGAUUUAUUUUGGGUUUUAAUUUUUGUAACUUAUGGCAUUUGGUUACUACCCUAUUAAUUGUAGGGAGUGUCCUAAGAGCCUAUAAAUAGCACCAUUUGUUGCAUGCUAAAAUAUAUCAAACUUUUACUCAACUAUUCACCCAUCAACCUUCUUUCCAAAAUCCCCCAAAAGAGUCUUGUGUGUUUUUUGGCCAGAGAAAGGUGUUCUUUUGGUGGAGCUUUGGGUUCCUCCAAUUUGUGCAGAUUGGUGUGAGCCAUACAACUUGUUGUUGGGCUGUUGUAUCCUGGAAGGGACAAGUCAAGAGAUUUCUGGUGCACCGGCAUUGUUCCGCAGAGGGUUUGAAUCUCCUUAAAGAGAGCGAGAUA